UACGAAGGGGGCUAGCGUUGCUCGGAAUCACUGGGCGUAAAGGGCGCGUAGGCGGUGUGUCAAGUCAGGCGUGAAAGCCCCGGGCUCAACCUGGGAAUUGCGAUGGAGACUGCGAGGCUAGAGUGUGUCAGAGGGGGGUAGAAUUCCACGUGUAGCAGUGAAAUGCGUAGAUAUGUGGAGGAACACCGAUGGCGAAGGCAGCCCCCCUGGGAUAACACUGACGCUCAUGCACGAAAGCGUGGGGAGCAAACAGG
rnacentral:rRNA from 1 species